GACGAACGCUGGCGGCGUGCUUAACACAUGCAAGUCGAACGAUGACGACCGAGCUUGCUCGGUCUGAUUAGUGGCGAACGGGUGAGUAACACGUGAGCAACCUGCCCUUCACUCUGGGAUAACCUCGGGAAAUCGGGGCUAAUACCGGAUAUGAGCUCCUGUCGCAUGGCGGGUGUUGGAAAGUUUUUCGGUGAAGGAUGGGCUCGCGGCCUAUCAGUUUGUUGGUGAGGUAGUGGCUCACCAAGGCGAUGACGGGUAGCCGGCCUGAGAGGGCGACCGGCCACACUGGGACUGAGAGACGGCCCAGACUCCUACGGGAGGCAGCAGUGGGGAAUAUUGCACAAUGGGCGAAAGCCUGAUGCAGCGACGCCGCGUGAGGGAUGACGGCCUUCGGGUUGUAAACCUCUUUCAGCAGGGAAGAAGCGAAAGUGACGGUACCUGCAGAAGAAGCGCCGGCUAACUACGUG
rnacentral:rRNA from 1 species